GCUAGAACCUCCAAACAAGCUCUCAAGGUCCAUUGUAGGAGAACGUAGGGUAGUCAAGCUUCCAAGACUCCAGACACAUCCAAAUGAGGCGCUGCAUGUGGCAGUCUGCCUUUCU
rnacentral:snRNA from 1 species